rnacentral:lncRNA from 1 species
UCAGGUUAGGGUAAGGGUUAGGGUUAGGAGAUUCAUAGGUGUGAUAAUGAUCUGUAAUGUUCUGUUCGAUGAGCAGAGCAGACAGCCCGCAUUUGGCUUAAGCGUGUGAUGACGUUUCCAGCUUUUCUAGCCAAUCAGAGGCAAAGGAGGCAGGUAUUUCCCCUACCAUUCUACAAAAAAAUAUCACACCUGGGUGAUACGCUGUUUGAGCCGAGCAUCACCACAGCAACUCUUGGCGACUCUCCCACGGAAUGCACGCAAUGCUACUGUGCAAGUGGUAGAGUGCGUACAAUGCUACUGCAUAAUGUUGGUUUCAGGAAAUGGAGAGAAAAGGCGGAGCCAAGUUGUCCAUAAUAUAUAGAGUCUAUGUUUAAUACCAUCACUUAUACACUCAGUAUCAUAAAGCCCAUUUUUAUCAUCACAGUUGUUGCAUAACUCUUCAAAUUAGGGUUUUUUCUGGCUUUCUCUCGAUGGCAUGGUCAUUUACGCGCAACCCAUUAAACAAAAAACAGGAUAAAGUCACUCUGAUUAACCUUACCACGUUAUGCCAUGCGGCCAUUGCCCACAUUUAAGAACAUAUAAACAGUUUUUUAACCUUUUUAAGAGUUGUUUUGUCUUUUUUCAGCAGGGGGAGUCUGAGUUCUGAUUGUCUAAAAACACCUCGAGGAAUCAGCUAGACUGAAGAGGUCACGUAAUGAAAAUAAAAGAAUUAAAAUGUUUAGUUAGUUGUCCGCUAGGUGAUACAAUUGCUGCACAUGGACACGUUUCCUGUUUUUAAUUUGAAGGCGGCAUCCUCGUACUUGCGGAGACAAUCUGCCGAGCUUGAUAACGUUGAAGUCGAAACCAAAAGCUGCGCUCUUGAGAGAGAGAGAGAGAGAGAGAGAGAGAGAGAGAGAGAGAGAGAGAGAGAUCUAAACCACCUCAUUCAGUUAAAAUCCUCCACUUUUUAGUGUAUCAGGAACUUUUGUCAUUCUUUCCUCCCGUAUAAGGCAGACAUAGACUUUGGUGACAGUUGGUGGUAUUGUGGGGUUGUGAAUGAACAUUGUGAACAGUGGCGGUUCUAGACUAAAUUACUCCCCGGGCGAGACCCCCUCCAAGCGUGCGCGCACACACACACACACACACACACACACACACACACACACACACACACACACACACACAAAGAGAUAAAAUUUUGAACAGAUAGUUUUGUAUUAUUAUGUAGUAUUAUUAUGAUUAUAACAACAAAAAUAAAAUAUUUCUCAAUUGCAGAAAUCCUUCAAUAGAAAAAAAAACAAUCCUGAGGGCCAUUUUAAGAAGGGCCCCCAGAUCCUGAGGUUUUCUGAAGUGUUGAGGUUUACAAAAAAGCUGAUAUCUCGGUCUCUGUAGUAGAUAGAAACUAAAUUCAAAAAGUAUUUGAGAGCUUAUACAUGUGGCUUUCAAGAAAGCUAACUAUUAGUUUUGUGAACCUUCAUCACAUUUUUGAAAACCUUGAGCAAACAAACUUAAAUGAAAUAAAGCGUCUGUAUAAAUAAAAGUAAGGGCUCUGCACUGGAGAAUGACAAAUAAUUUGCUUUCUGUAAAACAAGUGGCAGUCAUGAUAAAGUGUCCAUCAAUACAAAUGUAAAUAUUAAAAAAGUGUUGAAAGGGUAUACAGCUGCCCUAGUAUAGUUCCAGUACAAAAGCAGCUCUAAAAACUAAAAAUAUAUAAAUACGUGGCUGACAGUGUGUUCAUGUCAGUGUUCACCCAAAAUCAUGCAACACUCACAGAAAACGCCGAUAGUGUGAGCCAAAUCACUCCAUAUGAAGAGGUUGUUCACACUGCUGGAUGUUUCUCCUCCAAAGCUGCUCUCUGCCUCCAUCAUUGUUUACUUUACUCAUGAAGCACGUAGCAAGAUGAGCAUGAAUCCGAGCGCUUUAUUCGCCUAUCAGAGGCAGACAGGUAUAAUGAUUUGAUUCACCACGACUCCAGAAAUGAGCCAGAAAAAACUACAGAAUGUCACAAAAUGACGUAUCCGCGCUCCCAGCUUGAAGGCUAGAAAUGCGCAGCCGCGCUCCCGGCUUGGAAAGCUGAUAUGCGGACAUACUGUCCCGGUUUAAAUGGGUAAAGUGAUUGAUGCUGAUGACGACAAGGCCAUUGAGCCGUUCCUGAGACAUGGUUGACCUUUGGUACGACUUUAUCAACUUCAGUUUUGGGAAACUCCUCUCUUCUUGAGCCACCGUGACUGGCAGAGUGAGAGCAAUCCUGAGAGCAGAGCUGUCCCCCGCGACCCUCUCCCCGUUUCGUCUCAUACAGUCUGUCAGCCUCUGUGCGGCACCUUCGCAGCAAGCAGGGGCGCCUACAGCAGCAGGGGGCGCCAAUUUGACAACAAGAGUGGAUACUAAACCGCUUUGCGGUGCAGAUUUAUUAUAUUUUUCUUUCUUUUUUGGAAAUGCUCGUGCCGUCCCCCCAUGAGUCAUGACACAAAUGCUGCCCCGGGCAGCUGCCCUGUUCGCCCGUGCCUAGAUUGUGAAUAUGUGGACUAUUUAAUACGGAGCUAAUUUAAGAAAACAAAAUGUCAGCUUCAAAAAAUAAAAUCUUCCCCUACUUGACCGCAGAGACGGCUAAGAGCGCAGUUUGGGGAUCUAAGGAUGAAGUUAUAUCAAGCAGGAAUUAAAAAUGGUCUGAUCUAUCCUGCCACGCUGAUUAUGACUUUUAAAGGGAGAGAGAAGUAGUCUCAAACCAAUACUGUCUGCCUGCAGUGAAGAAGGUGAAUGAUGUGAGAAUUAAACUAAAAGCUGUCACAGCUCAAUAAUGUGUCAAGCAUGAAAUCCUCAAGCCAGUCAACAUCUAUCCCAAAG